UACGAAGGGUGCAAACGUUGCUCGGAAUUAUUGGGCGUAAAGAGCUCGUAGGCGGUGUGUCGCGUCGGCCGUGAAAACCUGCAGCUUAACUGUGGGCGUGCGGUCGAUACGGGCAUCACUGGAGUUCGGCAGGGGAGACUGGAAUUCCUGGUGUAGCGGUGAAAUGCGCAGAUAUCAGGAGGAACACCGGUGGCGAAGGCGGGUCUCUGGGCCGAUACUGACGCUGAGGAGCGAAAGCGUGGGGAGCGAACAGG
rnacentral:rRNA from 1 species